GAGUGAACGCUGGCGGUAGGCCUACCACAUGCAAGUCGAACGGCAGCCCAGUAAGAGCUUGCUCUUACGGGUGGCGAGUGGCGGACGGGUGAGGAAUACAUCGGAAUCUACUUUUUCGUGGGGGAUAACGUAGGGAAACUUACGCUAAUACCGCAUACGACCUACGGGUGAAAGCAGGGGAUCUUCGGACCUUGCGCGAUUGAAUGAGCCGAUGUCGGAUUAGCUAGUUGGCGGGGUAAAGGCCCACCAAGGCGACGAUCCGUAGCUGGUCUGAGAGGAUGAUCAGCCACACUGGAACUGAGACACGGUCCAGACUCCUACGGGAGGCAGCAGUGGGGAAUAUUGGACAAGGGGCGCAAGCCUGAUCCAGCCAUACCGCGUGGGUGAAGAAGGCCUUCGGGUUGUAAAGCCCUUUUGUUGGGAAAGAAAAGCAGCAGGUUAAUACCCCGCUGUUCUGACGGUACCCAAAGAAUAAGCACCGGCUAACUUCGU
rnacentral:rRNA from 1 species